rnacentral:rRNA from 1 species
GUGGGGAAUUUUGGACAAUGGGCGCAAGCCUGAUCCAGCAAUGCCGCGUGCAGGAAGAAGGCCUUCGGGUUGUAAACUGCUUUUGUACGGAACGAAAAGGUCUGGGUUAAUACCCUGGGCUCAUGACGGUACCGUAAGAAUAAGCACCGGCUAACUACGUGCCAGCAGCCGCGGUAAUACGUAGGGUGCGAGCGUUAAUCGGAAUUACUGGGCGUAAAGCGUGCGCAGGCGGUUUUGUAAGACAGGCGUGAAAUCCCCGGGCUCAACCUGGGCAUGGCGCUUGUGACUGCAAAGCUGGAGUGCGGCAGAGGGGGAUGGAAUUCCGCGUGUAGCAGUGAAAUGCGUAGAUAUGCGGAGGAACACCGAUGGCGAAGGCAAUCCCCUGGGCCUGCACUGACGCUCAUGCACGAAAGCGUGGGGAGCAAACAGGAUUAGAAACCCUUGUAGUCC